UGGCGGACGGGUGAGUAACGCGUGGGUAACCUGCCUCAUACAGGGGAGUAACAGUUGGAAACGGCUGCUAAUACCGCAUAAGCGCACAGUACCGCAUGGUACGGUGUGAAAAACUCCGGUGGUAUGAGAUGGACCCGCGUCUGAUUAGGUAGUUGGUGGGGUAACGGCCUACCAAGCCGACGAUCAGUAGCCGACCUGAGAGGGUGACCGGCCACAUUGGGACUGAGACACGGCCCAA
rnacentral:rRNA from 1 species